GGAGGGGGAAAGGGGUCCCUUAGCCCAGAUUGCAAGAGGGCGCAGGCCAGGCCAAGGGACCCCACUGGUACGCA
rnacentral:pre_miRNA from 1 species